rnacentral:lncRNA from 1 species
UUGAUCUUAAAUUUAGCAUCUGCAUCCUAACACAUCAAAUAUGAUAUAAGAUUGACAAAAGACCUUGUCAAUAGCCAGUAUAUUCAAAAUUUAAAAUCAAUUAACUUGGCAACACAAACAAUGCACAUGCUCAACAAGACAAUUUGCUGAAACCAGUAAGGCAGUAACAAUAAGUGACAUCAAAAUUGAAACUCAACAAAGCUGGAAAGCAAAAUUUACAUACACCACCUAAACUUCUCAGUCCCAAUCUGAGUAUCUCAUAUAGGAAGGAGAAAAAAUUAUGGCUAAGUAUUUAGUUUUUACCUGGAGCUUCAUCUCAAAUGUUGCGUGCACCGAUUUGUUGUUUCCUUCAGGUCAAUAGUUCAAAUCUGUACAAUGAAACUUGAGUGACUGAGAAAUUUAUGCAAAGUAUCAGUGAAAAUUACAGGAAAGAGAGAGUGUGAGACGUGAGUGAGAAUCGACGGUACAGUGUGGUGUGGUGCUGCAGUGAAGCAAAACGAAAAUCGCAAUCGUCUUUUCUUCUGAGCGCGUAAUCGCGAUCUCCGAGUUGAAGGAAGACGAAACAGAGAAAGAGAUGGAAUCGCGAUGCAAGCCUCUCUUCAUCUGAAUGUGUAAUCGCGACUCAAUCUACUCAGCGGG